rnacentral:tRNA from 1 species
GCCUCUAUAGCUCAGUUGGUAGAGCAGCCGGCUCUUACCCGGCGAGUCCUUGGUUCAAGUCCAAGUGGGGGCA